rnacentral:rRNA from 1 species
UGCGUAGGCGGCUCUUUAAGUCAGUGGUGAAAUCUUGCCGCUUAACGGUAAAAUUGCCAUUGAUACUGAAGAGCUUGAGUACAGUUGAGGUAAGCGGAAUGUGUAGUGUAGCGGUGAAAUGCUUAGAUAUUACACAGAACACCAAUUGCGAAGGCAGCUUACUAAACUGUUACUGACGCUGAUGCACGAAAGCGUGGGGAGCGAACAGGAUUAGAUACCCUGGUAGUCCACGCCGUAAACGAUGCUCACUCGCUGUUUGCGAUACACAGCAAGCGGCUAAGCGAAAGCAUUAAGUGAGCCACCUGGGGAGUACGAUCGCAAGGUUGAA